rnacentral:rRNA from 1 species
UACGUAGGGGGCAAGCGUUGUCCGGAAUCAUUGGGCGUAAAGAGCGUGUAGGCGGCUCGAUAAGUCCGCUGUGAAAGUCCAGGGCUCAACCCUGGAAGGCCGGUGGAAACUGUCGGGCUAGAGUCCGGAAGAGGCGAGUGGAAUUCCCGGUGUAGCGGUGAAAUGCGCAGAUAUCGGGAGGAACACCAAUGGCGAAGGCAGCUCGCUGGGACGGUACUGACGCUGAGUCGCGAAAGCGUGGGGAGCAAACAGG